AGUUACUGCUUGAUCCCUGGGGUCCUAGAGAUUAGUCUCCUUUGGGUUUUUUCUCUCUCUCUCCUUUGGACAGCUUUAUUACAGACGCGGGACACGAAUCCUUUUGAGGAAAAAUACGUUCUUUACUUCAGCUUGACAACUAUGAACGGAAACCCACAGAGAGCAACCUGAGAUCAACAGGAUUUGAAAGUGACAUGACUUUAUAAAAGCAGGACUGCAAUAUAAGCGAGAAAAGCCCCAUUCAAAAGCUGGCCUGGAUGAAGGAAUGGAUUAACCAAAAACACCACAGUACCUAGUAGAGGUGUUAAUGCUGGUGAUGUCUUAGACCAAGUGGAAAACCAUGGUGGAAACAAUCCUGGCGCCAUGGACAAUUGCUUUAGUGAUCUUUGCUGCAGUCCUGAUAAUGACCUUUCUUAUGUUUCUGCCUCCUGCUGUUGUGCUGAUCUGGAGAAUGAAGACAUUGUCGCAGAUCUCGUUGGAGGGAGCUGUGUAGCCCACCUCUGUGCAGGUGACUGCAUGAAUUUAGGCUCCAGGGUGUGUUUUGGUGGGUUCCACUGGAAAUACUCAAGUCUUUUCUCAUUCCAUAUAUGUGAAACGAUGGAUGCUGCUAAUUAAGAUUCUGGAUAUAAAACAACAUUGUCGAGACAUUUGAUGGCCAGUACGUGUCCUCACCUCUUUGCUCCAUUUUCCGUUUACUGAAUGAGGAGUCACCAAAGAGAAGCAAAUGGAAUUAAAAGCAAUGUGGCUCCUUUGGGCUCAAGUCAUACUGCCUUAUUGCUUAGCAUACUCCCAGCACAUCUCUCACCCCCUCCACUGUGCCUCUCACAGCUAUCAUGGUGUUUCCCUGAAGAGGCAAACGCCAUAACCAAGAUGGCAGAUGCUUCUAUGCUCGGCAGCCUGGAUCACUUCUUUAAUCCCUCUCCCUAGGUUUUGGCAGAGCCCUUUCUUGAGGUACCUCUGCAGCAAACAAUCAUUUUUGUGUGUUCUUUGUUUGGACAUGGUAGUCGGCAACAGAAGUGCAUAAAAGAAAAUGGCUUGACAGAACCUCA